rnacentral:lncRNA from 1 species
GGGAUGAUCAUACUCUGUUGAGUUCACUACUUUCGUCCAGUUUGACGUUUGUUUUAGACAUUAUGCAUAUUUCUCACUUUUCUCCUUAGUAUAUGGGGUUUUCCCAUGCCUUGGGUUUUACCAUAGCGAGAUUCUGUGAGUUUUACUACAAAUGCAUACUUCACUUAAAUUUGAGACUCGUGAUCACUUGUUUUGUCGAUGACUUCAUCAACUAUUCUACCUUAUCAGCUGAAGAUCUGAUGCGAUGGUUUGUUGAGUAUUUACACACUCAAGGGGGAGUGUUACAGUCAUAUUUAGAAUAUGAAUGUGAUUGUGUAAAUCCUAGUAGAGAUGAGAAUGUAUUUUAUAUUCCCAUUAGGAGUAGAUUACCUAUUAAAUAUUGUAAUCCUAAAGGGAAAGGUUUUUACCUAUCCCACUACUAUAAAUAAAGGCACAAUGGGAUGAAUCAAACACACCUCACAAUUAAUCACUCUCUCUUCU